UACGAAGGGUGCAAGCGUUGCUCGGAAUUAUUGGGCGUAAAGCGCACGUAGGCGGUUCGUCGCGUCGGCUGUGAAAUCCCGAGGCUCAACCUCGGGUCUGCAGUCGAUACGGGCGGACUGGAGUUCGGCAGGGGAGACUGGAAUUCCUGGUGUAGCGGUGAAAUGCGCAGAUAUCAGGAGGAACACCGGUGGCGAAGGCGGGUCUCUGGGCCGAUACUGACGCUGAGGAGCGAAAGCGUGGGGAGCGAACAGG
rnacentral:rRNA from 1 species